rnacentral:lncRNA from 1 species
UGACAGGCAGACAUGUCCAGGCUUGAAUGAAAAGGGAUGAUCUUGAAUACGUAAAUGUGAGUAGCAGGUAUUCAUUGCUAAUUAUUUCAUUUUUAUUUACUGAUUCCUGAAUUUCUGAAUGGAGAGAAUACCUGGGCAUGUGGCUAUUGAGCUAAUGGCAUUAAAACACUAAUGUAGUAUUGAUUUAAUGCAGGUUUCUCAAAGGUUAAAUAUCCAUUGACUUUUGCAUAAACAGCACGGAACAGAACAAAAUGCCAAAUGCCACUUGGUAAGACUCUUACUCUACAAAUUUCUUUAACUCCGAGACUUUGGAAGAAGUACAUUCAAAUUUAUUAACUAUGUUGGCAUGGCAAAACGCCUGUAACACCAACAAACAAAAGAGCCGAUUCCACAUCUUCUGUCACUUCCUUCUCUGUUUAUCAGAUCUCCGUUUCUCCAUUGCAAGGGUUGCAGAUUUUUUUUUCUCCUUUUGUGCCAAUGAAUUCAGAACUUUCUUCCUCUCUGUCUUGACAUUUGGCCCACUGGGAAAAUGCACAGAACCUCGAGACAUCCACAGCCAUCGCCUCCAGAGCUAUUUGUAUGGCAGAUGCCUAAAAAUGUUGUGCUAGUUGCUGUCUUAAUUAUCACAAGCAAACCGUUAAGGCUCGGAAGAGAGCAUUGCAUGCAGCUCCAGAGAGCCUGGGGUGGAACAGCGAAGGAGUGAAUCACCUUAAAGAGCUUGAGUCACAGCCUGCUCAGCUGCUCUGGGGCGCUGAGCAAGGCUGGUGCUCAGAGGAGCUUACUUCCAGACCCAGCAGGAUCCCAGCUGAGACCUGAGAGGAUCACCUCGCCCUGAUCUGCUCGCCCAGCCUCACUCAGGGAGCCCGCUCAACUCUGGAGAGCUCAUACCCAUCUUUGCCCUUUGCAGUCACACUUUUGAAAGAGUCUCCAGAUACUAAUUUAAUUUCCUUAAAAAGCAAUCCCUUGCCUCCUCUGUCUUUUACUUAGGAUUGCAUCUGACAGAUAGAAGCUCAGAUAUCAGAUUAUUAUGUUGCAGCUUAGUUAUUUGUCAAACUAUAUUUUUUCUUACCCUUCACAUUACCUUUAAAUUGUACUGUCUGGGGUGCAAGCAAAAUAAAAACUCUGCAUAAGAGGGAAGUUAUGGAGACAAAGAGGAAUGUUUUAAAAGACAGAAAUGUCACACCCAUAGAUCACAAAAAUAAUUCAAUAAAUUAUUUGAUACUCCUGUAUGUGAGCAUUUGUGUGUAGGGUGUGUGUGUGUGUGUGUGGGGUAUGUGUGCACAUACGUGUUCAUGGAUGUGUUAAUGCAUAUUCAACUUGCAGGAAUCUUGGGCAGAAGGAACAGGCAUAACGUGGAUGGGUAUUCUGUCACUGCCAAAAGAUAUUCAGCAUGUUGGAUUUUUAUUGGUAAGAAUGUGUUCCAACAGUCUGACCAUAUAUACGUAAUCUUGGAGUUCAAGGUUUCAGCAUGGGACUGGCCCAGGAGGGGACUUGUAGCAGAAUCAGGAUAAGUUCUAUAAUUUCUGAGUCUCAGAGCAAAGAAUGUAGAUCAGUCAGGGGCUUAAAAGGGCGUAAGUGAGCACAGAAGUUUUUCUAAAACAGCCCCUUGCAGCCCCUCAGGCAGCAGGGUCCUGAAAUUGGUCCAGGACGGAGUUUGGUGGGCUCUUAGAAGGAAAUACCCAAUGUGAAGGGUGAAUGAAGGACUGUGGGGACUCUUCUUUAUAAGAUGCAAAUGCACAGUGCUCAUGACCAGUCAUUUGAAUGCACAAAACAUUUCUAAAAGCCACAAGCAUCUUCAUCCCAGUUUUAAUCUCCCGCUUGUAACAGAGAAGGAUCAAGAGGAGAAAGAACUUACUUAGCCAACUGUGCAUGCAGGGCGUCACUCUGCAUCCCAUUGAAUUUCCACCCACACGACCGAAAUCUAAAGGACUUUCUCAUCAAAUCGACAGUAACUAUGGACUUUCCAGAUAUUGCUCCUGGAAAUUAUACGUGCUUUUAGCUCAUUUUCACUUACUAAAUUAUUGACUGUCUAAUCAUAUCUAAUAAUGUUCUAAGCUUAAUCCACUGAUUAUGAAAUGUGCCAUUUAUCAUUUACAUUUUGUGUAUAAAUAAGAUGCAUUAAUAUAGCAUUUUAUUACAGUUAUUUACCCAGUUGAUCUUCAGUGGCUUUAAAUGGACUUAUUACUGCUUUGACUUCUUAGGCAUGUUUUUGAACCUUGAUUAAAUACCUAAUGAGGAAUUCAUUUUCAAUGCAACCCAUAGAUUUUAGGAAGUUUAUUAAAUACACACACAAACACACACACACACACACACUUGCACUAGAUUAUGCAUUAAAAUAGAUCGAUUGAUUUUCAACUUGUAAACACAGAUAAUUAACGAUAAAAAUGGUUUCAUUAACCACAGACAUUGAUGUGGGGGUAUGCAAACCCUUUCCUGCACUAAUUUAUUCAUGGGUGAACCGAGGAGCCAGGCCACCCAUCUGCCCAGUUUGAUGGAAGGCCUUGCUGCUGUAGGAAGUCCCUCUUGCAGGACAGGAGAAUCGAUGGUUCAUGGGGCCUGGAGGUGGUGCACCUGCAUCCUGCAGGGCAGAGGGCACUUCUGGGCAUCACAGGGCUGUCCAUGAUGAUGAGUCCAUGGCUUCUCAGCUCUUCCCUGUCUGCAUGCCUUCAGUAUGGAUUUACGAUGCCCAAGCUAGCCUUCAUCUUGACCCUCUACUGUCUUGUGCCUAGGUAAAGGGAACAUUCAUACAGUCACAUACAGUAGAAAGGAGAGAGUUUUAAAAGUGCUCAUGAGUUUGUGAGAUUAUGAACCCAUCAUCAGUUCCAGGAUGAGUAACCUGAAGAGACAGUGAACACCGUGUGACUAUCUCGGAGGGUUCACCAUGCACAUUAGAGUUCAGAGGUUUCAGAGACUCAUCAACAAAUAACCCAUGGGACUUUGUUAACAUGGCGUCUACCAAAUCCAUUGACCAGGAGCCCUGCUCUGGCUCCAUUCUUGUGAAUACCCUCUGUGCACCCUUGACCGCGAGGGCGGGGCAGGGGUUUUUGUUCCAGAUACUGAGCAGUGGUGGAGAAGGCAUGGCAUUUGCUGCAUAGGGUGGAUGAUUAGUUUCGACAGAGAAGACUCAGAGUGUGAUAUCAAUGACAACUGACAGCCAUUAGGGAAGCAUUUGGGAAACUCUUAUUUUCAGUGGCCUCAAAGGAAUGUGGACAGGGUUCUAUUAUUACUUAGGUCUGAACUGACAUGGCAACACUUCUGGGGAUCCUAAUUUCUAUCACGAUUUAUUUUCAGAUGUCAGAAGACCAAGAGAUCACGGUGAAAAGCUGGUCGAUAGGAUAUUAGUAGGGAACAAUAAUGGAAUCGCUAGGGAAAUGCUGCUCACGUGGGGCAAGCCUUUGAGCAAGCUGGAUGGCCACGUGUAUUUGCGUUCUUGCUCACUCUCCCUGUGGCUGAGAUGCAGGCUCUCCAUGUUCAUCUCAAAAACUGCACCAAGAUGAAAAUACCCAAAAACUGUACCAGAGACUUGGCUUAUGCAUUGUUUUUGUUUCCACUCAAGAACCGUGUGUAUCUCUGGGAGGAUAGAUGGCACACUUUGCCACUUCUGUAAGAAAUCAAGCCUAGUGCUUGGUGAACCCUUACUGUGAUCUAGAUUGGUACCUCGGAGGUUUCAGAACAGCAAAUGUCAUCCUGAGCCGAAGAUGGGCCUACUGGAGGAGCUGUCAACUGUGCUGACACCAGACAUCCUGAAUUAAUUGUGGAUUUAUGCAACAAAGCGACAACAGGCAUCAGGGCUUUGUAACAUCUCCAGGUAAUUCCAUGCUGCAUUCAGGUUGCAGCCCUUGCUUCAGAAACUCCCAGGGUUGGGUUUGCAGAGAAUGAGCCCUAGGUCCAGAUGAAAGGAGAGGGCUGUGGCUGCCUGCAUACAGGUUCUCUGUUCUCAGUAACAGUGAGGCUCCCCUGUGCAGCAGACUCUGAAGAUGUGCCCCAUGGCGCUGAUUCCCCCCUGUGUUCCCAACACCCCAAUACCGUAAGCCAGUUUUCCUGUCUUCAGUUUCAGCCUUUCACCUGGUUUGGUAGCAGCAGGAAGACCCAGAUUAAUAUUAGUCAGAUGCAAUUUAAAAGUACCUUUCUGAAUGAUCAGCUUAUGGUUUGAAGAACAAAUAGCUUAGAUGUCAUCACUCCCUUGGAUGGGUGUUGUGUGCACACAUACACACACAGAGUGAGAACCAGCAAGUCUUCAUCUAUCAUCAGCACUCCUGUGCACACACUCACACACAGACACACAAUCGCACAAUUACACAUACACACACACACAAGCAUAGUUGAACAAUCUGGAAAUCAGCAAAUCUUCAUAGAUUAUCAGAAAAAUGAGGUCACAGGGCAAAUCACCACCAUGGAUACCCGAGAGGCAGGAGGAUAUGGGGAUCCACCAGUGGAGCUCAUUUGCAGGAUCUGAAUGGCAACUGAUAUCAGUGGAGACUGAACAUCGACUACAUCAUGAGAUUAGAAACUGCAAGAGAUUAGAAACCCCUUGCAUGUGGCUUAUAACUAGAAGCCCUGCCUGGUUGGGGUCACAGCUGCUGAAAAACUAUGACCCAACCUCAGUUGGCCCCGCCUCGGGACCACCACUCCAUCAGCAGUGAUCCCCGGUAGUGACUGGAGCAUCACAGAUGAAGAGACGUGAUGGAGCCCCGAGGGAGACCCAAAGACAACAGGGAGAAGAGGACAAGGACCGCGGAGCCACUCUCAGGCCCUGACAGCUACAGCUCUAGCAGACGAGUCACAGCCCACCUCGCCCCAGGUACAAGAAGCUUUGCUCAGGAAGACCGAGCCUCAGCCCUUUCUCUGCAACACUUCACAUUGUACUUCAUCACCAAUUACAAAGCAUCCUAAAAGAAAAAAAAAUAUGUUGAAAACACAAAGCAGGAGUCGACAUCAGACUGCGAUAUGACUUCUGGACUCACCAGACCAGGCACUUCAUGAGUCUCCACGACAGGGCGCUACUGCCGAAGUGGACAGCAUCCAGAGAGAGCGGAAUUGCCAGCAGAGACAGACUCCAAGGCUGGACCCAGCGCAGGGCAGGGCUCCAGCUUUGCUCUAAAUGCAGGCUGGCCGCUGGUUGUCCCAGGCAAGUAGCAGGACCAGGUGGCCUGGGGAGAGCGGCACACCCCCAGGAUCCUGGGAGCCAGGGCCAGGUGUCUGCUGCUUGGCUUUCCCCAGGGGCCUCUCUCCUUGGCUUGUGAAUAGCUGCCUCCCCUUCUGUGUCACCGGAUCCUCCCUGUGUGAGCCUGUGUCCCACUCUCCUCUUCUGAUGAGUGCUCAGUUACAUCCAAUCAACAUGGUCUAAUGGCAAAACAUCUCCCAUACAAACAGUGAUUUUGUAUCCAAAUUUCCUGAGGAAUUGCAAUAUUGUGUGUUCUUUCCCUGUAAGAUGCAAACAAUUUCAGAAAGUCUCAUUCGCUGUACCUCGAAACUUCUGUCUGUGCCAUUGUUUUACCGGGUGCUUGGGAAAAUUGAGACUUCGCCCUCCCUUGUCUUCCAAAGGAUCAGAUUUUUAAACACUGCCACCGCUAUGGGUUACCGGUUCCCAUGACAUCAUUUCAGCUUCUCAAGCCUCUCCACCCUCAGGGUUGUCACCCGCACCCUUUCAUUUCCAUGACUGCAGCAGGAUUGUGCUCCAAUUCACCUGUGCUUUGCCAGCUCACCUUUUAAUUUUAUUUAUUAAGUUUCAUUUUUCCCUUGGUGCAUCUGAAGCCUUGUAUCUCUUUUUUGAGACUUUCUAAUAUUUGCCGAAGAGUUCCUUUCACGAAUCAUAAUUUUUAUAAUUUCUCUUAUAUUUCUUUUGAAAAUAAACUUUGGACAGAAUUCUUCUGC